rnacentral:rRNA from 1 species
CCCUACGGGUUGUAAACUGCUUUUGUCGGGGAAUAAACCCUUCUACGUGUAGGAGGUUGAAUGUACUCGAAGAAUAAGGAUCGGCUAACUCCGUGCCAGCAGCCGCGGUAAUACGGAGGAUCCAAGCGUUAUCCGGAUUUAUUGGGUUUAAAGGGUGCGUAGGCGGCCUAUUAAGUCAGGGGUGAAAGACGGUGGCUCAACCAUCGCAGUGCCUUUGAUACUGAUAGGCUUGAAUGAACUUGAGGUAGGCGGAAUGUGACAAGUAGCGGUGAAAUGCAUAGAUAUGUCACAGAACACCAAUUGCGAAGGCAGCUUACUAAGGUUUAAUUGACGCUGAGGCACGAAAGCGUGGGGAUCAAACAGGAUUAGAUACCCUGGUAGUCCACGCCCUAAACGAUGAACACUCGAUGUUAGCGAUAUACCGUUAGCGUCUAAGCGAAAGCGUUAAGUGUCCACUGGA